rnacentral:rRNA from 1 species
AUACGUAGGGGGCGAGCGUUGUCCGGAAUGAUUGGGCGUAAAGGGCGCGUAGGCGGCCGCUUAAGUCUGGAGUGAAAGUCCUGUUUUCAAGAUGGGAAUUGCUUUGGAUACUGGGGGGCUUGAGUGCAGGAGAGGUUAUCGGAAUUCCCGGUGUAGCGGUGAAAUGCGUAGAGAUCGGGAGGAACACCAGUGGCGAAGGCGACGAUCUGGCCUGCAACUGACGCUCAGUCCCGAAAGCGUGGGGAGCAAAUAGGAUUAGAUACCCUAGUAGUCCACGCUGUAAACGAUGACAACUAAAUAUUGCCGCGAGGCAGUGUUGAAGCUAACGCAUUAAGUUGUCCGCCUGGGGAGUACGGUCGCAAGACUGAAACUUAAAGGAAUUGACGGGG